UUGCUUUCUCCGCCGGCGACCGGCGCACGGGUGAGUAACACGUAUGCAACCUGCCCCUGUCAGGGGGACAACCCGCCGAAAGGCGGGCUAAACCCGCGUACAUGCCACCGGGGCAUCCCGGAGGCAGGAAAGGCUUCGGCCGGACAGGGAUGGGCAUGCGGCGCAUUAGGCAGUAGGCGGGGUAACGGCCCACCUAACCGACGAUGCGUGGGGUUCUGAGAGGAAGGUCCCCCACACUGGUACUGAGACACGGACCAGACUCCUACGGGAGGCAGCAG
rnacentral:rRNA from 1 species